GGACGACGCUGGCGGCGUGCUUAACACAUGCAAGUCGAACGAAGAACCUUCCGUUCGGGAGGGGGACGAGUGGCGAACGGGUGAGUAACACGUGGGCAACCUGCCCCUCGCUCUGGGAUAACCCCGGGAAACCGGGGCUAAUACCAGAUAUUCAGCUCCGCAGGCAUCUGUGGAGUUGGAAAGGAUUCUGGCGAGGGAUGGGCCCCGCGGCCUAUCAGCUUGUUGGUGGGGUAAUGGCCUACCAAGGCGACGACGGGUAACCGGCCUGAGAGGGCGACCGGUCACACUGGGACUGAGACACGGCCCAGACUCCUACGGGAGGCAGCAGUGGGGAAUAUUGCGCAAUGGGCGAAAGCCUGACGCAGCAACGCCGCGUGAGGGAUGAAGUACGUCGAGAUGUAAACCUCUUUCAGCAGGGACGAAGCGAAAGUGACGGUACCUGCAGAAGAAGCGCCGGCUAACUACGUGCCAGCAGCCGCGGUAAUACGUAGGGCGCAAGCGUUGUCCGGAUUUAUUGGGCGUAAAGGGCUCGUAGGCGGUCUG
rnacentral:rRNA from 1 species